rnacentral:rRNA from 1 species
UACAGAGGUCUCAAGCGUUGUUCGGAUUCAUUGGGCGUAAAGGGUGCGUAGGUGGCGGGGUAAGUCAGGUGUGAAAGCUCUCGGCUAAACCGGGAGAGGUCGUUGGAUACUGGCGAACUAGAGGAUGGUAGAGGCGUGUGGAAUUCCGGGUGUAGUGGUGAAAUGCGUAGAGAUCCGGAGGAACACCAGUGGCGAAGGCGACACGCUGGGCCAUACCUGACGCUAAAGCGCGACAGCAUGGGGAGCAAACGGG